ensembl:lncRNA
UAGAUUUCCUCGCGUUUGUAUUUUGUUGAGCUGCAUUUUGUUCAGCAUACAAUGUAAAACAAUAGCACGUUAAGAUGGGACUUCACCAGCUAUGAAUUAUAGUUCUUACAAUGCCGAGAAUAUUUUUAAACUACCUUGCACAACACCUGCUUUCUCAUGAUGUAACAAGACCACCACAAGAAACCGUUUGCACAAAAAUUCAUCUUGUUGGCCAUCAUGUGAUGCGUUUCUGUCCAGUAAGCGGAGAGCAUGGACCAUCUGGGCUUAACCUGGAUGUGUGCAAGACACACACAGCGGCAACUGUUCCUUCUAAACAACAAUGGCAGUUCCUAAAAAAGAUUAGCUUAGAUCAGUGUUCAUUUUGGCAGCUAUUUUUGAUUUAGUCUUCGUCAUUUUAAUCCUUUUUAGUUUUAGUCAAGUUUUCGUCGACGAAAACUCAGAACAUUUUAGUCUAGUUUUAGUUGACGAAAACUAGACUAAAAUGUAAUUAGUUUUAGUCACGUUUAAUAGCCAUAUUAAACUCCUUUUCUUCCCUUCUCAGGCCCAGGGACCCCCUGUGUUGUGUCUACAACCAUAGUUUUUAUUUUUUAACAUCGUUUUCGUCACGUCUUAGUCAUGGAAAAAAGGUUCGUUACCAAAAAUUUUUCAUCAAAGUUUUCGUAGACGAAAUUAACACUGGCUUAGAUGAGGUGAGAGAAUCAGUUAUAUCAGAACUGGAUAGAGGUUCUUCAUUUAAACAGUUGAAGAACUUGUCUUGACACUUGGUUCAUCCAAAAAAAAUUGGCGGAAAUUUCAAAUGACAUCUUUUCACUUGGUUCAGUGAUAUAAAUCACUCAGAUCCAAUCCAGUCUUUACUUUUUCUAUCCAAAUCCAGUCAAAUUCUCCCCAGAUCUGGUCAAGUAGCAUCUAGCUGGACUAUCCUUCAACGCAGAAAUAAAGAAGAGAUUGUUUUUACCAUUUUUUGUUUAUAUUAUAGUUAAACUAUGAAUAAAAUGUAUGGUACCAGGAGUAAAAUUAGACCAAUGUGGUUGUAUUUCUAAUGAGGAAAGGAGAAAAACAUUGUCAAGCACACCAAAUAAUACAUUUACCCUUUGGGGACAAACACGGAGUAGCUAACUUAAAAUUCCCUGAACACCUUCUGAGCAUCCAGCGAGCAUUAAAAUACAGCUAAACAUCUUACAAUGAUGUGCUCAUUUGCAAAUCCCACAUGUGAUUAGCAAAAAAAAAAUGCAUUGCCCUAAAAUAAAUCAACCAUACCUUCAUUUCAACAUAGAAAUAAGGGAAAUUAUUCAUGUGAUUCCAAGUGUUGCUGGUAGGACUUAGCACUGGAUUAACCCGGUCAUCCUCCGAGUUCAGCCCAUGCAGUUUUGCAUGGCCACAAAAUGGUCUUAUUCGUGUGUUGUACGCACUAAUGCGGAUUUGUGAGAAGGGAGAAAACACGAUUUGUCUUUUAAAAAGGUGCACCUGGUGCAGGCAUAUCCAAUUUAUACCAACAACUUCCCCUUCCCCAGCAGGUGUUCCUGAUGCACAACAGCAUGUCUCAAAGAAAUACGCGUCUAUUUAUGAAAUAAGUAGACGGCUCACAGUUGUUGUUGUUGUUGUUGUUAUUGUUGCUAUAGUUAAACUAGGUCAAAUUAAGUAGUUUAGGUAACAAGAAAGUAAUACUUACAGUAGAUGAAUUUCAUUCAUGUCUCCUUUCAAUACGUCAGGCACACUUAUGCAGCAUUGUGAUAUGACAAAAAAGAAAUUGUUGUAUUGUUUAUGUGAAAUCAAUUUAACAAGUGUGAAAAUUCACCUGUAAUACCUAGAUGCAAUUAUUAAGAAUGCAAUGCAAAUAUUGUGCUUGCUGUAUUCCUCUAAAACAGUGAUCGCUAAGUGAUUCAUCAUUAAAAUGUAAUUUUCACAAGACUAAUUUUCACAAGACUAAACAGUGCUGUGGGAAUAACUUUAUUAAAAUGUGUUAAAUUGAAAGACCAGUUAUUGCAUAGCAAUUGACCAUCAUCUGAUAUAAAUCAACAUCAUCACUGAAUCAAUCAUUUCUGUAGGUGUCACGCAAUGAAGUACAUGGUCUGAUAUGCCCAGUCUGUGCAGGUAGGAAUCUAAUGAUGUGCGAGCAUUUUCAGAUUCUGCAAAAACAAAUGAGUUAAAAACAUGACAGUAAAAAGAAAAAAAAACCUGCAGGUAUCAGAGCACGACGACACUCAAGAGAGUAACAGACUGAGGUGGUUUAACGGGUGAGUUUUAAGAAGUGCAGCGUCUUAUGGGAACAAACUGUUGAGGUGCUGUGUGACCUCAGUCCCAGAGGAAAUUCUUCUGUAAAGAUAGUUUCUCGGGUGGACAGGAAUGGUGACAGCUCAUCCUGACCCUUUCUCACUCCGGAAUCAUUCCUUCCUGUUGGUUGAUCGAGGGUAGCAGAAAGGAAAUGUUCAUCACAGCUGUCGAGGCAACACAAUGGGGCUGCAGUACUUUGUGCUGGAGGUCUGUAAUUACUGUGCCACAAAAAUGAAGUUCCUGUUUUUACAUUAAAAACACCCCCCAUUGAGUCCCUUAAGUAGGUAUAAUAUUUUAAAUACUAGGUGCAGAUUUGUCUGAUCCCAAGUUUUAAAGAUGUUUGGGCACAUCAGGUUAAUACAUGGGCCAUUUGAAAACUGGUUUAUUCUUAACCCUCUUGUAAUUUCAAAAUAUUUCCUCUCCUCUCACUGGCCAUUAUUCCACCCGCUGAACCUUUUUCUCUUGGAUCAGAAAGCCAAACUUUUGUCCUUGUUUUAUCAAGUUGCACUUUUUACCUGAGCACAUUCUUUAUUCCCUAUUGCGCUCCCAUUUCGUCUGUUCCUCGGAGCCAAAUUACUUCCGUGGCCCACAAUUCUCAGGCGCCUUUCAAAUCACUGCCAACCAUCCCUCCCCAUUGGCAGCUAGACCCAUUUUUGAGUCAUUAAAUCCCAUUUCAGCAUUUUAACCACGUCAGCCUCCCAACUCCCAAAUGAAAUAAUAUCUCCUAACUCAGCCCACUUUGCAGUUGUCCCAAGCACAGCGACCAGACCAAAAACACGUCUUGACAUGUCACGUUUUAUUGUAAUUUGUACAACUUUCUUUUUGACAAUUUUAAAACUAUUCGUUUCAUAACCUAUGAAGGAUUGAGGAGGCGUGUGCUGUGUGAAGCGUGCAUGAUUGAUAUGUUGCAGUUUUCUUGUUCUGGCCCAGUUGAAAACCGCUCAUAGUUAGCGCAGUUACAGCAAUCAACUUUCUACUUAUGUGAAAAAAAGCUUGGGAUAGAAUAAUUGAUAUACAAAUGCCCUUAGUGUUUUUUUGUUUGGUUUCAUAGAAAGCAUUGUCUACUAACAGUGUUCAUUUGGUGGAUCGUCUCCUUAUAGGUAUCAAUUGGAACUUGAUAUACGUUAUCACUACAUGCAGCGUUUGCCUCACAAAAUAAUUUAUUAGUCACAAUUGAGUCUGACUAUAUGCUCAUUAGUUUCAUAUGAGAACAAACAGCUGUUGUUUUAUUGCACUUAUACAACUCUAUUUAGUGGUUCAGAAGCAAUGCGGUGGUAUUACACAGCAGUAUACAGUAACACAUGUAACAACCUUUUUGCGUGUGAUUAUUGCUGAGUUCAAAAUAUGAACAUUAGCGGGUCUAGAGGGCCAUAUGUGUGCAUGCGUGAGAUGGAAGGCGAAGAGAAAAGGGAGUAUGGAAGAGAUGCACUGACAAACCUGGAGUUGUUCCAAAACAUUUUCUCCCAGAGCGAGACCCCUUCUCCAAUACUGACUCCAUCCACCCUCCUGCUUUUGUGCAGAGCCUCGCUUUGGGCCGACUAUAUCAGUAUCUGCAUCAAACUGGAAAUCAGUAGCUGCGUGUUGGCACCACGGUCAGUGCCUGCCAGGGGGACUUUAGUUGCUAGGGGACGUGUGAACCGUGGCACUGAGCUUCUAAAGCAAGUAUCGUUUUGUGUACAUAACCAGUUUAGAAAUAUGCAUUGCAGAAUUAUGAACAGGAAACUUAUUACUGAACAGGUAAUAAUGAUGAAACAACCCGGUUAAAAUAUCAAAUACUGGUGUAUUUGACGUAAGGUACAUUUGACAUUGCAUUGUAUCAAAGAAGAUACUGAAGUCGGUUUAUAUUUAAUAGAAUUGGCAGUCGUGAGAUGUAAAGCACAUUCGUGUUAUUUGUUUUCUUAUUUUCUUUGCACUACCUAAGCUAUUAACCCUUGAUUUCUUUCCAUGGUUUGGCAUCAGGUGACAUGAAGUGGUUGACUUUUAUUUGCCUAUUUUUUUGCAGGAUGCAAAAAUAAUUCUAAACAUAUUUUCACCAUUAUCAUUUUCACAGAGGUUUGCCAUCAAUAUUGAAGUUGAAAUUAAAGACUAUGAAAUGUAUUUCACCGACCAGAGACAUGAGAAAACAGUUCAUCAUCGCUUCUUAACAUAGCACAUACUUACUUACUUAAUAACCGCACCAACCAACAAGUCAAAUUCCUUGUAUGUAUGACAUAUUUUGGCAAUAAAUGUUUCCUGAUUCCUGAUUAAUAAUUAUUGUAUGAUAACAAUGUGAGGUGCUCAACCAGCAGCUAAAGUUUUGUCUUGAAACCGGCUUUUCCCAGCCGAGAGUAGCUUUAGUGCUGACGAUGUGACCGGCUGUGAGUGCAUGUUUCAACCACCACAACGCCCUCACAUUUCAGCCAGCUGGCUUGUAUCUCGCACCACUGAACCUGCAGGAACCCCAAUAAACGGUGUGCCGGGAGACCCCUUCACUCUUUGUGUUCAACGACUACCACUUUGCACUUGUCUUGGCACUUGGCGCGAUUGAAAUGGGGCCCGUAGGGAUUUUUACUUUUAAUGAGCAAGAUAUGUCAAGACCCAGAAAGUCGAUGCCUCCGACAUUAAAGCUUGUUUAGUUGUAUAAUGCCUCUGUUGGGUUAAAAGUAGGAGAGGAAGGGUCACGGUGAGAGGAGUAGUUGUGCUGUAAAGCUUACAAAGGUCAUAGUUAGCGUCCACAAGUAUAAAACACUCCAGACUUUCAGCAAUACUCUUGUAGCAAUGGAAAGUUGUUACUAACUCUAAAAUAUAGAAAAUAUUUUUCCUCGCUUGUCAAAUAACCUCAUGUCAUGUCGAGUUGAGAACCACACACAGCUGAUUAUUUCACAGCAAUCCAUCGGAGCUACUAAAAAAUAACUUGUGCAAAGACGUUGGUUGGACUGUUUUUUACAUAAAAUAAUCCUGAAACUACGAGGAUUAUAAAAUCUAUUUUAUGGAUCUUAAUCAAUCUUAAUCAAAUUUGUCUUAAGUUUCACAGUGUAGGUAGAUGUACUCUAAGCUUUUUAAUGAUAUGGUUUUAGUGUAGCACUUAAGUACUGCUCCAAAUAACACAGCAAAAAUGUAGAGACUUAAACAAUUAAUAGAAAAUCUUUAGAGCUGUAGAGUAAAAAUAAUAUGAAAAGAAUGUUUGACCCAGAUCUUGAAGACCGGGCUAAUAGUGAUUGUUAUUACUUUGUGUUUAAAUAAAUAACAAUGAGAUAAUCAUAAGAUAAUGUACAUGUUUUCAUAGCGUGGACAGUUAAAGUAACACCUUCACCAUUAUAAGAAAACCAAAGGACAUCAUCAGAAGUCAUGACUAGAAUAAAAGAAAUCUCUCCACUUGUAGAAGGGAUAUAAUGAAAACACACUUUUUGAGGACGUGUUUACAUACAUGUGAGUGCCUGUAGAGCCAAACAACCCACUUACUGUCUCAUAAGACAACACAGUCAGUUUUAUUGUGAGCUGCCUCGGUCAGAAAACAUGUAAUUGAAACGCUAUUCAAAUUUGGUUUUCCCUUCCUUUUACUGCAUGCCUAUUCAUAAGAACAUACCACCCACCUCCAUCCGAGUGUCGUCUCCAUAACUACCUUUCCUAAAGUCUGCCAUAUUUUUCUCACUAGCCAAUCCGAGUAUAUUGGGCUUUUCCCAUAGAGGCUGGCUUAAAUUGUCAGGCGCUUAAACAGAGAGUGAUUACAGGAAUAUUUCAGCAUUCCAGAAAUGUCAUAUAUUUUCAAACAUUGAAUAAUACAAACAUUUACUUAUAAAUCCCAAAUAUUAUUAUGAGUCAAAAAAGAAACAUACUAUUUCCCUUUGACGUAAAACGUUCACCAUCAUGACCUUUUUUUCAACAUACAAUCCCUUUUCUAAUCAAGAUGCUUUGUGAAUAUACUCCACAAUGACUUAUAUUUUCCACAUGCCGCCCCCUCAACCAUAAGCGGAUCUCUACUGGAAACAAAAAACUUCAUUCGGGCCUCGAGCACAUAAGAAAUAAAGUUAAGUGCAACGGCUGGCACGACUGGAGGAAUCAUGAAAAGGUCACAUUUCAGUCCUUUCCCGCACCAGUCUGUUCUGUCUUCGAUGACCUUCGAGAAAGCAUGCGACUCAAAAAAAAGGCACUAGUCUUAAAUUAGGGUACAUUCAAUCCAUCUACAGAUUGAGCAGCAACUCGGGAGGUGGUAAGAAGUCAGCACCUUGCUCAUUGACAUUUCAGUGGAAAUCCUGUACGACGGGAGGGCUUCAAUCUAAGGCCUACAGCAGCUGGUCAGUCUAUAAUGACUGAACUCUCGCCUGACAGGUUGCCGGUUUGAUACGUAUGCUUGGGGCAUUUGUAAUGAGAUGAAAAAGUGUGAACCGCGAUAGCACAAGAUCUGGCUUCUUAGCGUUUGCUUGAACUUUGCUCGGACCAUAUUUCCACACCCUGGACUACACAAAGUAAGGUUGGGGCCAUCAUUUAGGAAUUACACUUGUAUGGGAUGUCUAUUCCUCAGCUUUGUUUGGUUGUUUAUUAGCCAUAUUGCAAACAUGACUUUUAUUGUGGCUACACAUGUCAAGUAUUUAGAAAAGAGAUUCUCCAAGAACACAGGUAAACAUAAAUACACACGCGCCUCACAGUUCAUUCAGUUCGUUCCACAGAUGAAAAAAAAAAUGUUAGGACCAAAUUUACAGAAGGCCAGCAGGUGAACAUCAGCCGAAGAAAAGAGGUCUUCAUGCAGCAUAAAUAAAACAAGGUUUAUGUUUUUUUACCAUUUGAGACUUUGCUGAGCUGAAACAAGGACAACGCCACAAAAGGUGCUCAAUAUAUAGAUCUGUGGUCAACCCAAUAAGGCCUUGGCUGACUGAUACUUCAUCUACUCUUUAGCUAAUCGAUUGGUGGAUGUGGCAAUUCAAAAAAGUCUCUCCUCCCAUGCUUGGCUAAAUAAUUGUUACGAUUAUGUUGUUCUCUACUGUUGAAAAACCACACAAGGUAACCUUUCUUUAAGAACAUACACGUUGUCUUUCUCUCUCUCAAACAAGCACAUCCUUUUCACCCCCAAAAUGUUGCAAUAAAAUGUGCAUUUCUCCUCAUUUAAGUAAAACCAAAUAGUGUCCGACCAAUAAGAAUUGAGUGGGACAAGAGCAUCGCCACCAACAGACCAGAAGGAGCUCAGAGAAAACAAGCAUAUCUGUUGCCUGAACACGGCCUGUAACAUGGAAAGUGCUAGACAGUUCGUACAACAGCAGCAGCACAGGGGGAGAAAACGGUUUUCCCUUUGUGGGAAGCUUCUGUGACAAGGUUAUCAGGGGCGGUCGCCGUGUUAGACAAUACUCCUCCUUGCUAUGCUUAGCUAGAAGUUGCUCACUGCUAGAUUAGCGCUUUCACUCCUGUAUAAAUAACCUGUAAAAGACCUUGGAAAUGAAUGAGGAUAUGAUAUAAGAUUGCAAUCUCAAAGUUUGAUGAAAUUAUUAUGGGAAAAAAAUUUAAAUGUUGUCGUGUUCCAAAAUUAAGAAACGCCGGACGGACAAAAGGCAUCGCAGAUCGAAAGGUUAAAAUCAAAUGUAUUUAAUAAAAGAGAUGGUGUUGUGGUAAAAAGAACAUCUCAGCUGAGGAGCCGCUGGUCUUUGCAACCAACAGGCCCCAGGUCAGUCCUUUGACCAUCCCCAGUGCCCGUCUGCUGCCUCCACCAGCGAACUCCAGAACAAUGGUUGCCUACAGGUAUUUAUACCGAUCCGUACAGGUGUGAAAGUUAGUGUCCACACCUCUGGGAGUGGUCUUCUGGUGAUUUCAAUGUAACUCGGAUUUCGAAUGACCCUCAGUCAAUAUCAGUUGUUGUGCAAGUAUUAAAUGCAUGCAUUCCAGUUGAUUACAUUGCAUUAAAUACAAUCAUAACUGUACAUUGGUAUUAUUCUAUUACAGUUCCAGAAUGACAGUGGUUUUACAAUAUUGCCAUUACUUUAUUGAUUACACAGUUUCAGAAUCAUGGCUGUAUUCUGGUGUACACUCAAUGUAUUUUAUAAAUUUUAUGAACCGGGUCGUCAGUUUAUUUCUAAUAUCCUACACUGUCUAUUAAAGAGUAACUUCACACUGAAAUGUCCCCUUUAAUCUAUAAACUAAAUGCUAUCGCUGUACCGUGAUGAUGUGUCUUACCAUUUAUUUUAAUCUGAUGAACAGUCAUUUCUUUUUUCCAUGCCAUAGUGCCAAAGUGCUAUCAACACUUCCCAAGCUACUGUGACUGCCAUUUUGCUGUGGUUUUAUCUCGCAGACCCGUGCCGGCUUUUUCUCAGGCUCGGACCUGGAUACUUGUCGAUUGAGGAUUUCAGUACAGUAAGUAGCUGCUCUUAUUAAUAGGCCUACUUGUUCUUUUCACAUGACUGAAUUGUUUUAAAAAGAUAUAGAUCAUAGAUGAUGAAGAAGAUUUAAAAGACAAAUAAAUUCAGAACGCAAUUCUUCAGAGUUCUUCAUAAAAUGGCAAAAGAAUUGUUUCUAGAGCAUCAACAGUAACAGCUGUUUACAACCGCCAGGGCACUAUAUGAAGUCAUUAAUAUCUAACCAGAAUGUCACAUUAAAUAGCAAAACAAAUAACUAUUCUGAGUGAAGUUUAUAUCCAAUGAAAAACAAAGACAUCUGUCAGUAUUGGUUAUCCCUCCUGUCUUUUGUCCUCCUGGCUGCCUUGUCUCAGUCGGCAGAGAAGUUUUAUAAAAAAGCUUUUGCCCGAUUGUUUAUGCUUUGCUCUUGCAAACAUAGCAUCGGUGGCUGACUGAAUCGGGUUCCACUUUCGUUUUACAUGCUCACAAAUGUAUCAAAUAGAACUGUUGGCUUUUUACUCCCAAAUAUUUGACUGAAUGUUGAAUAACGAGAAUAGUCGACACCAACUCGAGAAUGCCUGAGUUGACCAUGUUGACUUUGCUGCACCGGCAUGUUUGCUGGCGCUCGGUGAGUGUCUGUGUUAUGUGUGGCCGUGUAGAGAGAGAGAGAGCAGAACAGACGAGCCCUGCAGCGUUAUAAUAGAUUGCAUCAAAACAUUCAAAAGUACUGUUAAAAAGCAGCAAAAACAUUGGGGCUUUUCAAAACUACAAUGUUCAUCAUUUAGCACCGAAAGUCUCGAGCUCGAGACAAUAUCCGCUCUGGGCUGUUGUAGAAACAUGGCAGACUGCGUGGAAGACGACAUGCUUCUUACUAAAGUCUACACUCUUCUUUCUUCUUCAUACUAUUUAGAUAUAAAUUACCUUUCCUAACCAAAGGAAGAGAUAACUAUUCUUAGUAUUAAGGGACUAUAAACUAUUUAUAACAUAGUUACUGUUUUUCACUCAUGUUCUUUCAUCUUGCAGCUAGCAAGUUCAAAAGAAAUGCAAAAAAAUAAGACAAAUUUGUGAUCACCUCUUUGACGGGACGACCUUUGUGACCCAUGUUUGGGCAGAGCAAGGUACCUGGCUGUGCUGCCCAGGGGCCUUCAUCAUUCCACGUACUAAAGCCUGGUUGGCCGGUUUUGUUGCUUCCAUCUCAAAGAAAACAGAUGAGAGAAUCACUAAGUGAGCGUGUAUGGGGCGCCUUUUGUAAAAUGUUGCACGUUCCAAAAUCCUGUGCAGUUUUUCCACAUUUAGCAUUAUCAUAUGAACAAAAAAGCACGACAAUAUUCACAUGUCACCUUUUCAAACAUUUAGGGAGAAAUUCAUGUACAUUCAUGCAAUAACUUUUCCAAGGAUAAUGUUUGGCUGUAACAAAUUUGUUAAAUAAUAAAUUGUUAAAUCUAAAUGUUAAAUC